rnacentral:rRNA from 1 species
UGGGGAAUUUUGGACAAUGGGCGCAAGCCUGAUCCAGCCAUGCCGCGUGCGGGAAGAAGGCCUUCGGGUUGUAAACCGCUUUUGUCAGGGAAGAAAUCUUCUGAGUUAAUACCUCGGGAGGAUGACGGUACCUGAAGAAUAAGCACCGGCUAACUACGUGCCAGCAGCCGCGGUAAUACGUAGGGUGCAAGCGUUAAUCGGAAUUACUGGGCGUAAAGCGUGCGCAGGCGGUUUUGUAAGACAGAGGUGAAAUCCCCGGGCUCAACCUGGGAACUGCCUUUGUGACUGCAAGGCUUGAGUGCGGCAGAGGGGGAUGGAAUUCCGCGUGUAGCAGUGAAAUGCGUAGAUAUGCGGAGGAAACACCGAUGGCGAAGGCAAUCCCCCUGGGCCUGCACUGACGCUCAUGCACGAAGGCGUGGGGAGCAAACAGGAUUAGAUACCCUGGUAGUCCACGCCCUAAAACCGAUGUCAACUGGUUGUUGGGAAGGUUCCCUUCUCAGUAACGUAGCUAACGCGUGAAAGUUGACCGCCUGGGGGAGUACGGCCGCAAGGUUG